CCAGUUUUUAGUUGUGUCCCUUCAGUUGGAAGUGGUAAGAGAAGAGAUAUAGGUGGCAAAGCAAGGACGAUGUUGUUACAGAGCAACUUAUGGGGGUUAUAUUUUAGCACUGCUUCUAAAUCUCUAAUCGUCCUGUGUUUAUAUGUCAUAUCGUAAGACGGCAUGUCACACAUACCUAUGUCACUGUGGAUUAAACUCAUGGUUUCUAUUUUAAACCUGUUUUCUUUUUGUGUCUUGUAAAUCCAGAUUAUGAAAUUUAAUGGUCAUAAUAUUAACAUGAAAUUGUCCUGAGAUGAGAGCUUUCUUCUUAAAUACGUACCAUGUUUAUAUAUAUUUAUCAUUUGUGAAUAGACAGGUAAUGCACAUAAAAUAAAAACAGUUCGUCU
rnacentral:misc_RNA from 1 species